ACAAAAGCGAACAAGCUCCUGGCAGUGUACAGAGUGUACACACAUAUACACACACACACACACACAUAUACACAAAGGCACGCACACAGUCGUAAACCUGAGCCACACACCCCCUCUCAUUCAAAGCACGUCAAAGCCCCCUCUUUGGCAUUUUCGUCUGAUUCCUCCACAAACUUAGACACACUUCUAACUCAAGACAAACAGGACGUCCCAUCUGCAGGUAGGAACAGGACAGGACACGCACCCUCGACACCACACAGCAGCACCACCACCACCUCCACCACCUCAACGAAACAUGUCGGACUCUGAAGCCGCCGCUGCCCCUGCUGAGGCCCCCGUCCCUGCUUCUUGUGCAAGCAUCAAGGCUGACCUGGACAAAUGUGUGGCGGAGAAGGGAGCCGAGGGCUGCAAAGAGCUGAUGGAGGCCUUCGCUGCUUGUGUGAAGAGUGCAGCCGAGGGGACGUCAUGAGGAGUCGCCCUCCAGCCUCAAAUGUCCACUGCACUGAGUCCUCCAAGUUCCCAGCAUUCCCUUCUGCACAACAGCACUGGACUGAACGAUGACAACGAUGAAGAGGAUGAUGCUGAGCGUUAACAAACACUGUGUUGAUUUGGGCUGAGUUUGGGAUCUGGUGGCAGUAACUACAGUUCCCCCCCCCCCCCAUCCUCCUUUUCCCCUCCGUUUUAGACUUCUCUGGUGUUCCUCUUGUCUUCCCGUCAUUCCCCUUCUCCCUCUACGGCUGACGUACAGUACCUUGACAAUUCCAGCGAGCCGAUGGGCUGUGAUGUAAAUUGUCGACUUGAAUACUUAUAAAUGGAAAUAAAAGUAUCAAAUAAUUGGUAUAAAAAUAAA